UACAGAGGUCUCAAGCGUUGUUCGGAUUUAUUGGGCGUAAAGAGCGUGUAGGCGGCCUGGUAGGUCAGCUGUGAAAACUCGAGGCUCAACCUCGAGACGCCGGUUGAAACCAUCAGGCUAGAGUCCGGAAGAGGAGAGUGGAAUUCCCGGUGUAGCGGUGAAAUGCGCAGAUAUCGGGAAGAACACCCGUGGCUAAGGCGGCUCCCUAGUACGGUACUGACGCUGAGACGCGAAAGCGUGGGGAGCGAACAGG
rnacentral:rRNA from 1 species